GUUUAUGUUUCCGUCUCAUUGUUUCUAGGAGGACUCGGAGGAAAUUGUCUCAGGAGGUUUAUGAUCUAUAUUAUACGUCACUACAUCAUCGUGAAAUAUUUAUUUUAAUAUUAAAGAGAACCUCUGCGGUAUUAUACAAAGGUGGUGCUCUUCUCCUGUACUGCAGCAGGUGUGAUUCAACAACUGAUUCUAGGAAGUGUGGUGGUGCUUGCUGGUUGGUUGGUUCAACCCCAGAUCGUCCAGCUAUGACCCAGUUCCUACAUGAAAAAGAACCCAGCCACCGGAUCGACUCUCUGCUGCUGCGUUGCUUGGGUGCUACUUGGAUUUCUGUUGUUGCCUUGUUGUCUGCCUGGUUAUUGAGACAUGUGAACAUAUAAGUUUUCGUUUCUCAAAUUCAACAUUCAUAUUUGCAGAUGGCUCCAAAAGAUUUUUAUACAGGACGUGCAAAUGUAAUGGUAUACAUUCCAGAGAAGGCAAUUAAUUUCUUCUCAUUUAUUUUUUUUUCAUGGAAAUAUUGUCUAGUAGCGUCUUUGGGUCCUUGCUUAUGUCACCAUCGGAGGGAAUGAGCAAACUGAUAUCUUGGCUAAGCAAGCAGAGAAGCAGGGAAGGAUUGUCCCACAAGUAAAAUUGAAGCAAAGUCAAGGAUUGAAUCAUAUACACAGUCAAUCUGGCAGGAGCCCUGAGAUAAUGGUGAAACAGACAUUUUUUUUAGUUUAGUUUUAUUUUGUUAUUUAUUUAAUGGUUAUUAUUCUGGUAGCCUGUCAUACUGUUUGCAUGGAUGAACUUUAGGAUCAAUAAAACGUUUAUAGUGCAUGGGCUUUAGGUGAGUUGGAGAACCUUUACACCUUUUACAUCUAACUGACUAGUUUGAACGUAUUGUUUGAUGCCACCUGUGUUUUUUUUCUUGGAUAAAGGCCUUGCUUCAUUACAUUUGGCGUCGCACAACUGAGGAAGAAUUGAAAUCUAUGAAUCUGACAUGGGGAGAUGUCUUCUACUUCUUCUACUCUAAGUCCUCCAGCUCACCACAUCUUGCCUUAUAACACUCCUCAACUGUAAAGGAAACUAAUGUCCUUAAAUAACCCAGACCCCCUUAAAACUAAAGUUUUUACCUCAGAAAUGGCUAAAGAAAGUCUACAGUUAACCAACCAAGUCAAACAAGUUGGUAUGCAGCUGUAACUUUAACAAUGUGGAAUUGCGACUCCACCCUUCUAACUAGUUUGUUUGUGCAGUGAAGUUUGAAUGACAGUGGGGUAUGUUUGACAGCAAUGUAGCAAUUGUAGCAAUGGGAAAGGUCAUCCAGGUUAGCACAAAUUGAGGUCAUCAGGCUGCACAGGAUGCUUAGGAAAUCAGAGAGAUAUGGCGAGUCAGUCAGUCUGUGUUGACUUUACGUGUCCACUAGAUGGAGCCAGAAACCAUGUUAUACUGUACUGUGUCUGAGAGGCAACAAGAAGAAAUAAACUGUCAAGAAAAUGACUUCAUGAAUAACUCAGUCUUCAUGUUAAUCCACCAACUAAGUUUAGUAGUGUACAAACCAAAGUGGUAAAGAUGAAUAACAUAUGACAUGAUAUUGGACUUGACUGAGCCCCUGAUCUUAUCAAAAGCUAC